rnacentral:rRNA from 1 species
GACAGAGGGGGCAAGCGUUGCUCGGAAUUACUGGGCGUAAAGGGCGCGUAGGCGGGAUGGCAAGUCGGUCGUGAAAUCCUUCGGCUCAACCGAAGAACGUCGAUCGAUACUGCUGUUCUUGAGGGUUGCAGAGGAGACUGGAAUUCCCGGUGUAGCGGUGAAAUGUGUAGAGAUCGGGAGGAACACCGGUGGCGAAGGCGGGUCUCUGGGCAAUUCCUGACGCUGAGGCGCGAAGCGUGGGAGCGAACAGGAUAGAUACCGUGUAGUCAGACCAUCUCUGCUAC